UUUUAUUUUUAUACCAGCACUGACGCACCGGAUCCCAUUAGAACUCCGAAGUUAAGCGUGCUUGGGCGAGAGUAGUACUAGGAUGGGUGACCCCUUGGUAAGUCUUCAUGUUGCAUCCC
rnacentral:rRNA from 1 species